AACGAACGCUGGCGGCAUGCCUAACACAUGCCAGUCGAACGAGACCUUCGGGUCUAGUGGCGCACGGGUGCGUAACGCGUGGGAACCUGCCCUUAGGUUCGGAAUAACUCCCCGAAAGGGGUGCUAAUACCGGAUAAUGUCUUCGGACCAAAGAUUUAUCGCCUUUGGAUGGGCCCGCGUUGGAUUAGCUAGUUGGUAGGGUAAAAGCCUACCAAGGCGACGAUCCAUAGCUGGUCUGAGAGGAUGAUCAGCCACACUGGGACUGAGACACGGCCCAGACUCCUACGGGAGGAAGCAGUGGGGAAUAUUGGACAAUGGGCGAAAGCCUGAUCCAGCAAUGCCGCGUGAGUGAUGAAGGCCUUAGGGUUGUAAAGCUCUUUUACCCGGGAUGAUAAUGACAGUACCGGGAGAAUAAGCUCCGGCUAACUCCGUG
rnacentral:rRNA from 1 species